AGAGUUUGAUCCUGGCUCAGGAUGAACGUUGGCGGCGUGCCUAAUACAUGCAAGUCGAACGGUAGUUGAGCAUUCGUGCUUGAUGAGAGUGGCGAACGGGUGAGUAACACGUAACUGAUCUGCCCUUUAGACUGGGAUAACCUUUGGAAACAGAGGCUAAUACCGGAUGAGUUCGCGGUAGUUAGAGAGCCGUGAGGAAAGGCUAAUGCGCUAAGGGAUGAGGUUGCGGGCCAUCAGCUAGUUGGUGAGGUAAAGGCUCACCAAGGCGAUGACGGUUAGGGGAUCUGAGAGGGUGGCCCCCCACACUGGGACUGAGACACGGCCCAGACUCCUACGGGAGGCAGCAGUAAGGGAUAUUGCACAAUGGACGGAAGUCUGAUGCAGCGACGCCGCGUGGGUGAAGAAGGUAUUCGGAUCGUAAAGCCCUUUUCUAUGUGACGAGAGAGGACGGUAGCAUAGGAAUAAGUGUCGGCUAACUACGUGCCAGCAGCCGCGGUAAAACGUAGGACGCGAACGUUAUCCGGAGUUACUGGGCGUAAAGCGCGCGUAGGCGGUUGGUUAAGUUACCUAUGAAAGGUACAGGCUAAACUUGUAUGGGUUAGGUGAAACUGGCU
rnacentral:rRNA from 1 species